GGUAAUGAUGGAGGGAAGGUGUGUCAAGGCUACGUCCCCAUGACUCUGUCUAAUAAAACUUAGGUGGUGGUGGUCAACCUCUCACAUCUAUGUUUGCUUCAUAAAAUAAAAAAGUUCACGCCAUCACAGUAUCUAUGAAUCACACCACGCAACGUAUUAAAUUAUGAAUUCAGAAAAUUUUUGUAAUAUUUAUUAUGUAGUAAUAUAUUUGAAGGUUAUAAUAGUAAAUAAUUAUUAAUACAUACGAGAGUAUAAUUAAUUUAGUUUACUCGAGUUGAGU